rnacentral:rRNA from 1 species
UACGUAGGUGGCAAGCGUUGUCCGGAUUUAUUGGGCGUAAAGCGCGCGCAGGCGGUCCUUUAAGUCUGAUGUGAAAUCUCGCGGCUCAACCGCGAGCGGUCAUUGGAAACUGGGGGACUUGAGUGCAGAAGAGAAGAGCGGAAUUCCACGUGUAGCGGUGAAAUGCGUAGAGAUGUGGAGGAACACCAGUGGCGAAGGCGGCUCUUUGGUCUGUAACUGACGCUGAGGCGCGAAAGCGUGGGGAGCAAAC